rnacentral:lncRNA from 1 species
CACUGGGUACACCCAACUUUGUUGCUUCUUCUACUCUCCUUUUCAUUUCUUCGUAUAAUUUCUACACAUAAAAUGAAACUGAGUCUUCAAAAUACUUGGUGAACAAGUGAGAUGAAAGUAAGAAGAUGAGUAAUAGGUGCAUACAUGGAUGGUUGCCAAGUGUUUGACAUAGUUAUGGUCCUGUGAUUUUGUUGAAGCAACAGUGUUAAAAUAUGCAGCAGGUGACCUUGGUUCCACCUUAAAUCUCUUGCAGAAUGGAAUCCAAUGCUUGGCAAAGGAAGAAGCUUGUAAAAGAGCAUAAAAGGUUACAUCUGAGCCUCCAUCAUCUGAGAGAUACACGCUCAACUUCUCAGCUGGAUAGUCAUAAGCCAUCACAGAUAACACUGUAUUGAUCACCAUCAUCGGUGGCUCCACCACUGCAUCUGCCGUGAACACAAAGAUGUCCACUUCCGGGAACCUACUCUCAUAUCUGCCAAAUUGAAACACACACAUAAUCACAAAUUAGUACACUACAAAAAAAUCAGAUUUAUAGACAGAUUUUUAUCCACAGAGUCCAUAGAAACAUCUACGUAAAGGUGACAAAGAUGAACCUUGGAGAGAGUCUGUUGGGGAAGGUUGUUCUGUAGACCAUGUUCCAUCGAAGGGCAUGAUAAAAAACCCAAUAGAUGCCACCCCACACUUCUGCAACAAACAAACCAAGCCAAGCCCAUUGGCCAGCUUCUCCUUUUGCAGGUAUGUGAGUGAGUCUGAAUGCCCAGACAAAGCAUAUGGCAACAAACAAAGAGACAGCAUAGAGCCUCCGAAUGUGCCUUGCUUUGUCUUUCCUUGUUUCAAACAAAGAGUUCUCUUCACCACUCCCCAUUCUGCCUUCUAACUCACUCCUCUCUCUUCUUGCUCUCUGCAUCCUCAGUUCACUUUCUUAUAUAGCUACAAAAAAUGAUUAUGAUAUUCCACGAGUUUCAAUAUAAUAUUCUGUUAACUUGAAUGUUUUUUGAAAAUAUAAAAUUGGCUCUGAUCGUUCGUUAGCAAGGCAUGAGUAGAUAGGGAAGUGAUAAUUUUGGAAUGGUAGGUAACGAUCCAUGAACAUCACACGCCAUUUUGGAAGGGUAACUGGUCCAUGAGCUACUCAUGUCAUUUUGGAAUCAUAGAUAACCCAGAAAUUUUAUACUAUUAUUUUAAUAUUUUUUCAUAUCAUUUAAUUAUAAAUUUAUCCUUUAUUAUAUAUAUUUAUUUCUAAAUUCAUAUAUAACUCUUAAUUUUCAAACCAUCAUUUUCCAUCCACAAAUUACCACUAGUAUAUGCUACACUGACUUUACCACCAAGACUUCAAAGCAAGUGACGAGUGCGCUGACGAAACCAGACCAAUAUUCACAUGCUAAACUUUGAUCAUAUCAUAACUAUUUUGUUUUCUUAACACAACUUAUUUAACUUAAUUGAUGUUUCGAAACAAAUGUAUAUGUGAUUGAUUUUAUAGUUAGUUUAGUAAUUUUAUUUAUGUGGGUAGGAUUAAAUCAGUAAUGAUACCAAAUAAGAACAUAGAGCAGAAAAGGAGCGUAUAGAUGGAAAGUUCCUUUUGUGUAGUCGCCGUCCACCACCACAGACUCAUAAAAUUCAUUUAAUGGGUGUCACUCUCCAACAUACCCAGCAAAUAUAAGAACCACUCAAAACAUAUUAGGAUUAUGUUUCUAAAAAUAGAAAAAAUGAUGUGGUGAGUAUGAUUUUGGGAGAAUAUGUUAGCAUCCUCCAAUAACGAUUCAAGUAUUUUUUCCACCCUCCAAUUAUGAGUUUCAAUUGUAAGGUUAGAACUGAGAGAGAUAUGUUGUUUUGGAUAGACUCAGUAGUCUUGAAAUAUAGAUUCUCGAUAUUCUUCUCUUGGUCUAUUGUUAAGAAGGCAAUUGUGGAAAAUGAGUUAAUGGGGUUUGGGAGUGGAACUUAAUUUGGAGAAUGAGUCUUUUUGUUUGGGAGGAGGAGCAAGUAAGCCAGCUUUUAGAGAUGAUUUUCAAUAAGAGGCCUGAGUUGGAGACCGCUGACAAAUGGGUUUGGAAGGAUAGCGAGUCUGCAGUGUUUUCAGUCAUGUUUGCUUAUGAUUUAUUAAGGGGAGAGGGAAACGAGGAAGAUUCGAGAAUGUACAAUUUCUUUUGGAGGAUUAAGACGCUUCCUUCAGCUCAUGUCACAACUUGGAGAAUGAUUGAAAACAAGGUUGCUUCUGAGGUAAAUUUGAAGAGACAAGGGAUAGGGGUAGAGAGCAACCUUUGUUGUUUGUGCAGGGUGUCAGAGGAGUCAACAAAUCAUUUGUUCUUUGGAUGCAGAGUUGUUUGGCUAGUUUGGAAUGUUACAAAUGGUUAAGAGCGAGUUCGGUUGAUCUUCUUGCUCUUGGUCCCCAUUUCGAACAAUUCAAAAUUAUGGAUGCGUCUUCUUUGGUCAAUCUUAUUAUGGGUAAUGUUUGGAUCGCAUUGGUUAGCGAGAUUUGGAGACAUAGGAAUAAUUGUUUAUUUAGAGGUGGAGUGGUUGAUCAUACUGAAAUUUUUUCCCUGACACAAGUUAAGGUUUGGUUUUGGAUCUCUUCAAAGGUACAGUAAGUAAGUUUCUCAUUUUAUGACUGGUGCUUUGAACCCCUGGUCGAUUUAAUGUUACUAUAAGGGUGGAGGGGUUGGUCCUAGAUCUUUCUAUUUCUCUUUAGUUGGUAGUGUUGGAGUAGAGAAUAGGAGGUUCCAUUAUGGAUUUUGAUGUGUAUGUGAAAAGGUGCUAUUUGUUCUCUUACUUUGUAUGAGGGUUAGACCAUCCCUUAAGUGAGUCAUUUUAAUUUUAUUGUUUCUUGCUGAUAAAAAAAACCCCUCCAAUAACGAUGAUUACACUUUAUAAUAAUCGUACUCGUAUGUAAAACUACAAUAAAUUGUUAUCGAAUUUUUAGAUAUUUAAGGAUUGAAUAUGUUUUUGGUAUCUGUAUUAUAAUAUAAAAUUGAUUUUUAUUUUUUGUCCAAAUUUUAGGACAUAUGAGUAUUUGUAGUACGUAAAUAAUUAAAAUGAAUCUUUUUAUAUGUGGAAUUGAUUCAAUUUGAGUUUUACUUGAUCAAAACAUUGUAAGUAGUUAUAGUGGACAUCAACCAUUAAAACAACAAUGAAUUUAUUAUUGAUGGUGCUAUAACUAUUUCCAAUAGGUUGAUGAAGUGAAAUCUCAAAUUGAAUCAAUUUUAUAUACAGAAAAAUUUAUUUUAAUCAUUUUCAUACUAAAUAUAUAGAUGAUAGUUUAAAUGAAGGACGAAAUCAUAUUUCAUAUUAUAGAGUACCAAAAACAUAUUUUAACUUUUUUUUAAAUAUUAAUAAUGAUUCUAUAAUUAUUUUUAAAAAUUAAUUUAACUAUUAUUAAAGUUGUAUUUGCAAUAUAAACCAGUGUAACAGGUAAGAAUUCUAGAUUUUUUUUUAAUUUAUCUUUUAAAUGGAUGAAGCUAUAUUAAGAUGAAAGUACAAUAGGAAAAUGACGCAAAUGAAAAUAAAGGGCAAAUAUCACCAGACGUGAAAGUAAAGUGUUACCGAAUUAUAAAUUUAUUCUUUUAUCUUUCUAUUUAUAUUGAUUUGAUCUUUUAUUUUUGAAAUAAUUAUUUUCAUAUCAAUAUAUAUUAAGUAUUAAAAUAAAUAAAUAUUGAAUCGUUUUAGCUGACAACAAGUCUCUAGAUUAAAAUAUGAUAACAAAACUAUAAUCACAUAAAUAUACAUUAAAAUAAAAAACAACUAUAUAUAUAAAUGGCAUAAUAAUUUAAAAUUAUAUUAGAAAUAACAUAAGCGCCUUAAACAGUAAUAAAUAUGUUUAAAUUAUUAAGGACCAUUCUGUUAUUGCAUUAUUAUGCCAAGGACCAUUCUGUUAUUGCAUUAUUAUACUAAGGACCAUUAUGUUAUUGCAUUAUAAUGGUAAUGAAGAGAGUGGUCAUUACAUGAAAUUGCAGAAGCCUAGUUUGUGUUUUAAAGACUAUUUUCAUUUUAAAGUUAUGUUUCUCAUUUUAGCUAAUUUCUAUUUUUUAUUAAUUAAAAAAUUGUUGGACUUUCUAGUAAUAUUACAUAAAUAUAUUUUUUUUUCUUAAUAGUUUGUAUUUUUUUUAAAUGCUACUUCAUACUGGCUUUCUUAAAAUAUCAGUUUCUAAAGUUUAGCCGUCUAUGAGGCAGGCUCAGACACUUCUUUUAAAUGGCGUAUCAGUGUCGACACUCGUAGGACACUUAUUAGUGAAGGUGUUCAAUUCAAAAAAUAUUUGUUGGAUUUUUGAAAAUUUUAGCACGAUUCUAACACAAUUUUAAAAGGUAUAAAUAUAAUAAUUUUCUAAAAAUUCAAAUUUAUUAUAUAAAUUUUUAUUAUGAUUAUAAAAAUAAGGAACAAAUUCUUUUGAACCAAUCAUGAAAAAUAUCUUCAUGCUCCCAAAAGAAUCUCAAACAUACUUUUGCACAUAAAUAUUUAUUUUUAAUUUAUAUAAUUCAAAAUUAUAUAAAAUAUAGAUCCGUGUCCCCGUGUCAUACAUUUUAAAAAUUAUACGUAUCUCCGUAUCCGUAUCGUGUCAGUGUCCGUAUCUAUAUCUGUGUUACAUACUUAACAGUGAAUUUGAAAAUGGAUAAAGAGAACCACCUAACAAAAAUAGGACUAGACAAAAAUAACCCUCAAAUUAGUUAAAAUUGAUAUAUUUAUAAAUAUGCUAAACAAUUCUGGAGCUAACUCAAAAAAAAAAUACACUAUUUCGUUUUCAUCUUAAUUAUUAUAUUAAAGAGUAUUGAAUUUGGAGUGAUUUAAGAGAAAAUACUAAAUAAAUUAAAGUUAUUUGAAUUAAAAUAUGUUUGAGUAGAUUAGUGUGAACAAAUUUAUUAAAGUUUGACAUAAAGAAUUGUUUUGAUUUCUCUUUAUAACCUUUUUAAUUUUUUACAUUAAUAAGAGAAAAGAUAUUUAGUUCUUGCUUUUCUAUCCGAUUCAAUUGGAUUCAAACUUAGCAUAUACUAGAAAUAAACUACAAAAAUUAAAAUAUAAAAACUAUUUCAAAUGUAAAUACAUAAGAAAAACCAAUAUUGUAUUUUUUUUAAAUCUCAGAUAAUAUUUCUUACUUCUUGUAUUUAUACAUUUACUUGCGUUUGGUUGUUCUCAUUCAUCCAAACGAGAUAUAUCAUAAUCAUCUUUACUAUUAAAUUUUUCACAUCUUUUACUAUAAGAAAAUUAUUGAAUAGAAAUAAAUUUUAUAGAAAAAAAUAAUUAGUUGUUACAGUGAUUAAAUUAGAUAUUAUUUUAGAGAAUAACAAAAUUAUUGGUUUCUAAAUUAGUUUCUAUUAGUGAUAAAUAGUUUAUUAAAUUGGUAUCUAAUUAGCUACUAAGGUUUUUUUUACAAAAUUUAGAAUUUAAAUAAUUGGAAAUUCAAAUUAACCUAUAGUGUAAUUAACCUCUAGCACAACUUAGGAUGAAUGUUUAAAUUAAUAACAAAAGUAAUAAUAAUGCCAUGUAUUGAGAAUAUUUCUUUCCAUUAUUUCAAAUUAAUAGUAUGACAAUAAGUACAUAUUUUUCGAUGGAAAGACAAAGAUACUUGCAUAGAAUAAUAGAUAAAAUAAUGAAAGCAAAAUGUCUUUUCUUAUUAGAGGAUAAAACAGAAGACUGCAUAAAUUUACUCAAUUGAAUAGUUUGAAGAACACACAUGCAGUGAAAGCCACUGCAGUAGACUUGAUAGAAACAGAAGUUGGCAUUCUACCCUUAUCCUUCCUCACAAAAAUGGCUUGGUAUAAGGGAAUAUUGAUGACAACUAAAACUCCACACAAAAGAACUUGUAAUGUCAUUUUCUCAGCAGCAAAGGUACCUUUUUGAAGGACCAAAUCCUUUAAAGUUAGAAGCAAGCAAAACAAAUUGAGUAAUGCAAGUGUUGCUAGAACAGUGAAAUAAGGAGAAGAUGUUCCAAAUUCCAUGACCUCUUUCUUGUAACGUUGAGCAACAUCAUCAUCAAUGACCUUUGAUGUGAGUGAAUAUGAUGAAUUUGGAUGUCCAAAGAAUCCUAGGAUGCCGUCUAUUAAGGAAAAAAGAAAGGAACUUGUUUUCACGUACAACCACAUUCUUGUACCAUUCCACCAACCUUGGAUUGAUCCUCCCAUACUCAAACCCUCAAUCAAACUAUAAGCAAUUUCCCCAACAGUUACACAUAUGAAAGGUAUACACCAUAAGCUAGAAAUCUGUUGAUCCAAUAGAUAAAGCACAAAAUGUUAACAACAUUAAAGAAUCAUAUAAAAGCAUAACAUGUUUAUGAUUUAUGGAUUUAAACCCCAUUAAUUAUACAUGAGCUUAUAUUUAACAGUGAGUAUAAAAUCAAACAAUAAAAGAAGACAACUUUCUAUGUUUCAACUUUUAGCUAAUUAUAAAUUUUGUGUAAUUUACAAUGUGAAUUUGUGUUUGAAAGAGGAAAAUGUUGCAAAACUUGUGAUUAUUUUGUGAGAAAAAGUGAUAUUACCUUUGGAAAGAGGGAAACACCCUUAAGGAUAUAAAGUGAAGGGAUGAUGGAGUAAUAUAAUACUGACAAGGAAGUGAUGGCAAAGAAGUUGUGGUGCCAAUAUCCCAAUAGUAGGCAUAUGUUGAUCUUUUGAUCACCAUACCAUUUAGGUCUGAACUUAGAAAGUGUAAGUUGCAUAUGACCUUCACCCCAUCUCUUUAGUUGAACUAGUGUGUGAAGUAAGCUAGUUGGAGCAACACCAGAAAAAGCACUUAUUGAUGGGUUGUAGUAUACUGAUUUCCAUCCAUGUGCAUGCAUCUGCAACCCUGUUAUCACAUCUUCCACAAGACAGCCAUAUAUUGAACCAAUCUACAACAAAAUAAAUCAUUUAUUGUACUUUAAUAAUACUCAAGUAUUAUUAUUGACUAUGAUUAUGAAUGUGACUAUGAAAGUGUAAAAGAGAUUAGUAAAUCACUUUUUUUCCCCAUAAGGUAUUUUUCUCAUAACUGCAAUUUGCUAAAGCUUUCGAUUCUUCUUCGAGUUCAUGCAAGUUUACUUCAGUCACCUCAUUCUCAUUCUGAUCAUUCCAAUCAUUUUUGUAUUCACGACUAAACUUCUUCCACCAGAGAGCAUCUCUUCUAAGAUAGCAACAAGUUCCAAUAAAAAGUGGGCCACCAAAACCAUCAAAACCAUGGAGUUCUACCUUCAAAGUGAUCAAUAAAGUGUGAAAUUAUUUUUAGAGAAAUUUAUCCGUCUUCAUCAUAAUAGCAAUGCUAUCUAUGCCUAAAGUAAGAAAAUUACUACAAAUAUAUUUUCACCAAAAUUAUGUACAUUUAAGAAAGACACAUAUUAUCUUUUAGAUAAAAAAACAAAUAGCAAUACAUAUAGAUGAAAAUACUAACCAUUUUUUUUAUUACAUCGACAAUUUAACUAACUCACCUGCACAAUAUCUGAUAUAGCAUUCGCGUAAAGAUCAUUCUUUCCAAUAUUAUGAAAACAUUGUGGAAAUUGCACGUAAGCAAUUUCUUGACCUUUAUCUUCAUCCAUGAAAAAACACAGAGCAUCUUUCACUGAUUUUGAAUGGGUGGAGUACAUGUCACAAUCCAGAAAUAGAAUGAUUUUCCCAUUACUAAUCGUUGAAGACACUCUUAACUACAUUAAGAUAAAGAAAUAUAAUGUCAUACUCAAUGUAUUUGGAUUGAGUAAUGUUUCGUGAAAGAACUGAUAACCUAUAUAGAGAUUUAUAUAAAUAAUAUAUGGUAAUUUAAUUCAACUAAAAUUUGGAAAUUUUGUUGAUGAGAUAUUAGAAGAAUGAGUCGCAAGGUUAUCAAGAGUUGUAUACGUGAUUCUCCAUACAGAUUUUGUUUUAAGAAGUGAAGGGUUGUAAUUAUGGACAGUACCAAUGCAUUUAUAGCUCCAGCUUUGAAGUUGGUGUGAUAGUGAGGUCUCUUUUCACGAGCCAUAUACACUAAGGUUGGCAAAGUACACCCAUCUACGUCCUUUGACCCUUCUGACUCCUUUUUAUGCAUCAAAAUCUGUUAACACAAUCAAACAUGCAUCAAACUUUCUGCACAUUUCAAACACAUACUUUUACAAAACAAAAAGUUUAGAAAUUUAUGUACUUGAAGGAUAGUAUCGUGAUCACGUGGAGAGGAAUACGAAUCCCAUUGGGAAAAACCAUUAUGCUUUGACCGUGCUUCACUGGGUACACCCAACUUUGUUGCUUCUUCUACUCUCCUUUUCAUUUCUUCGUAUAAUUUCUACACAUAAAAUGCAACUGAGUCUUCAAAAUACAUGUUGAACAAGUGAAAUGAAAGUGAAAAGAUGAUUAAUAUAGGUGCAUACAUGGAUGGUUGCCAAGUGUUUGACAUAGUUAUGGUCCUGUGAUUUUGUUGAGUCAACACUGUUAAAAUAUGCAGCAGGUGACCUUGGUUCCACCUUAUAUCUCUUGCAGAACGGAAUCCAAUGCUUGGCAAAGGAAGAAGCUUCUAAAAGAGCAUAAAAGGUUACAUCUGAGCCUCCAUCAUCUGAGAGAUACACGCUCAACUUCUCAGCUGCAUAGUCAUAAGCCAUCACAGAUAACACUGUAUUGAUCACCAUCAUCGGUGGCUCCACCACUGCAUCUGCCGUGAACACAAAGAUGUCCACUCCCGG